GUUUAAGCCGCCGCGGUAAUACGUAGGGUGCGAGCGUUGUCCGGAAUUAUUGGGCGUAAAGAGCUCGUAGGCGGUGUGUCGCGUCGGUCGUGAAAACUUGGGGCUUAACCCUGAGCUUGCGGUCGAUACGGGCAUCACUGGAGUUCGGCAGGGGAGACUGGAAUUCCUGGUGUAGCGGUGAAAUGCGCAGAUAUCAGGAGGAACACCGGUGGCGAAGGCGGGUCUCUGGGCCGAUACUGACGCUGAGGAGCGAAAGCGUGGGGAGCGAACAGGAUUAGAUACCCUGGUAGUCC
rnacentral:rRNA from 1 species